rnacentral:sRNA from 1 species
GACCGAACCCAGGGCCUUGCGCUUCCUAGGUAAGCGCAGCUAAAUCCCCAGCCCCUUACAGAAAGAUUAUAAUCAUAUACAUACUCCCUUAUUUCUUUUUAAAUCUUUGCGUGUUAUUUGUGUGUGCUCCCUCAACUGUAUGUGUGCGACUGUGGACUUGUGCUUGUCACAGCAUGUUGAGCUCAGGAGGAUGGCCUUGGGCCUCACUUCCUCUUUGAGACAGUCAUUUUGUUCUCACUACUACAUGGGCCAGGCUAGCUGGCCUGGGAGCUUCUAGGGAUUUUACUGUCUCUGCCUUACCCCCCCCUCCAACCUCCCCCACCCACUACGCCUGGCUUUUACAGGGUUCUGAGGACUCAAAUUCAGGUCCUUAACAUUUUCAUGGGAAACAUUAGUCACUGAGCCACCUGGGGGGGGGGCUCUAAAUGUUAAUCCACUUUCCCCUCCUCCACACAGAGCAGUAUUUUGCAUAAAGACUUGAGAUAUUUUUCCUGAGCGGUCUAUGCAAUGCUCUAAUAUAUGGAUCCUGAAAACUCAUCAAAACCACAAAGUGACUGAUGGUGGCACUAUCCCUGUGUACAACCGUAUUCCAGUUUCCCAGCAGGUCCCAGAGUUGACAGCAUAUCAGAAUCAAAGCAGGGCAUCUACCACCCCCUUCCCACUGUGACCCUUGGGGAGCCAACAUGUGGGCAGUGUAACCGCCUUCCCGACACUCCAGAAACUUAAAAGCAAAAUCCAAAACCCAACCAAACCAUAUCCAGGCUACAUCCCGCCAACACCAUAAAGCCAGAUUAAGUGUUGCUCCUCCUCUCUCUGCAACCCCAGUCUACACACUCAGAUCUAAGCAAGAGCUUUCAUCUCUCCUAGUUCUCGCACAUAGUGCCCAUUCUAGUCCUAAUCUGCCAAGAAUAGGGAGGGAGAAGGGGAAGAACCAUAACCUGCAGUCAAAGUUACAGUCCUAAAGUCAACUCAAAGGGAACCAUCACAAGGCUAACAGCUGGCUUCCUCACAUCCCCUCCUUCCUCAUUACCACCCUGCUUACCUGACUCCUAUCAAUUCAGCUCCUAAGAACAGAUCUGGAGAGGCUGCAAAACCUACUACAGCUGCUGCUCUCCUCGCCAAGUCACUGGCCCCUGCACCCUCUUGAUCCAGAUGGUGCAACUAUUGCAGGCUGUUGCAAGGCCAAGCAGUCUUCCAUAACCACGAUGAGUUCAUUCUCCAGAGAGCACACGUCUGAACUCCAUUCA